UAGGUUAUAACUGUAAGUUUAGGUUGGGUUAUAGGUUAAGCUUUAGGGAUUUGAGUUUAGGUUAAGGUUUAGGUUUAGGUUAAGGUUAUAAGUAUAGGUUUUGGGAUUUGAGAAUAAGUUUAGGUUAUAAGUAUAGGUUUAGGUUGGGUUAUAGGUUAAGGUUUAGGGAUUUGAGUUUAGGUUAGGGUUUAAGUUUAGGUUAAGCUUGUAAGUAUAGGUUUUGGGAUUUGAGAAUAGGUUUAGGUUAUAAGUAUAGGUUUAGGCUGGUUUAUAUGUUAAGGUUUAGGGAUUUGAGUUUAGGUUAAGGUUUAGGUUUAGGUUAAGGUUGUAAGUUUAGGUUUAGGUUAUAAGUAUAGGUUUAGGUUGGGUUAUAGGUUAAGGUUUAGGGAUUUGAGUUUAGGUUAAGGUUAUAAGUAUAGGUUUUGGGAUUUGAGAAUAGGUUUAGGUUAUAAGUAUAGGUUUAGGUUGGGUUAUAGGUUAAGGUUUAGGGAUUUGAGUUUAGGUUAAGGUUUAGGUUUAGGUUAAGGUUGUAAGUUUAGGUUAAGGUUAUAAGUAUAGGUUUAGGUUGGGUUAUAGGUUAAGGUUUAGGGAUUUGAGUUUAGGUUAAGGUUUAGGUUUAGGUUA